GAAUCUGUUUCAUAAGCCCUUAGAUGUAACAUGGAAAAUUUCAUCAAGUGGAUGAAAUUUUAUCUAGAAAUUUCAUUUUAGAAUCUUUCAUAAAAUUUCCCCACUCUGCUGAGGGCCGAAUGCCCCCUGUCCCUUUUCUCAUCCCUUUUAAGUCUGCAUUUGAUUGCACAACUGCACAGUUGCAUAAAGAAGCGUACAGCAUCUGGGAUGAUACAUGAAAACCUGUUGAAAAUUCAGGGAAAAUAAGUUAACACCUAAUGAUGUUUUUUAUCCUCUAUGACUAAUUUAGAUUGUUUCAUUUUCCAGACAAUUUUGAAGAUGCCUGCAUUGACAUGGUCCGUAAAACUAAAAAACGUCGACUGGCCAGUGAAAGCGCAGACGAAACAGCAAAGAAACGAAGAUCAUCAACCCCUCCUAUUUAUGGUGAUUUCUCCAAUGUGAUCAUUCCAGGGAAAAAUUCUAACACAAAGAAAAUUCCCCAACCAAAAAAACAAGAAUCUCCAAAGACAUCUGGUCCCAAAAAUCAAGAAUCUCCAAAGACACCGGGUCCCAAAAAUCUAGAAUCUUCAAAGACAUCGGGUCCCAAAAAUCAAGAAUCUGCGAAGACAUCGGGUCCCAAAAAUCAAGAAUCUCCAAAGACAUCGGGUCCCAAAAUCAAGAAUCUGCGAAGACAUCGGGUCCCAAAAAUCAAGAAUCUCCAAAGACAUCGGGUCCCAAAAAUCAAGAAUCUCCAAAGACAUCGGGUCCCAAAAAUCAAGAAUCUCCAAAGACAUCGGGUCCCCAAAAUCAAGAUUCUCUCAAGACAUCAGAUCCCAAAACACAUCAACAGCAACCAGACAUGAAAAAGCAGCGGCAACCUUGUCAAUGUCCGGUUCCUCAGCGCGACUAUCACAAUUGUGCCAGUGCACCAGCAAUAUCCUUAAAGUCGGUAGCCGCUGCAUUAUGUUAUGCAUCCCGUGCGCAAGAGAAGAGUUACUCGCGAGAGGAAAGACACCACAAAGAAGUCUGCUCAAAACUCGAUGAAAUUUUAAAGGCGGUGAAAGGUUUGAAAAUCACCAACCCAGAAACUGGUGGGAGUGGACCUGCUGCGAUACCUCGCCGCAUUAUUUCCGACUCAGAUGUCGAUCCUGAAGUUCUUGAAGGGCUCCCAAUUUUAAGAACGAAAGUCUUAAAGAAGAUUGUCCGGUUAUUAGAUGAAGAUUCUUCAUUCAAAGACAAACUAAUUGCUACUUUUGUAAAUGAAAAAAUAACCAAAGCCGCCUCAUUUCCCACAGCUACUGCCCGUCAAGUUCUGGCGGAACUUAUUUCCCCCGGAAAGGCAAAGCUUUUUUCUUGGGAUGGAAAAAAAGAAAUGGUAUCUGAAAAAUUGCUUUCAGCAAACUUCCAUUAAAAGUUUCGUAU
rnacentral:lncRNA from 1 species